rnacentral:sRNA from 1 species
UACCGGGGUUGAGAGACGAUGAUUCGUUGCCUGUGUUUUUGGCGGAGAUGAUGAGGGAGGCGUUGAUGGUUUCUGGGUCUGGGGAAAGGGAUGAGUUGAAGGGGAGAUUGGUUAUCAAUGGAGGGUGGCAUUGGAGAAUCUAUAUCGAUAUCCUCCUUGUCUCCCCACCGCUCUCGUAUCCCCUCCCGCUCCUCUCGCUAACAACGCAUCUUGCUCUCCUCUCCACGAAAUUACCUCGCCUCAUUUCCAAGGACGAAGAGGAUCCCAUGUUUGACGACGACUGGGCUGCUGCGGAGUAUCUAUACCCACGACGCCCAUCACGGGCACAGGAACAACAACAAAAAAUACCAAGUUCGGCUACAUCAGCAACGAAAACAACAACAACGCCGUCCAUACUCCACCCCUUCCGUCCUCCCGUAACCCUCCUCGUAAUCUCCGUAGGCGACAACAUAAUCUUCGACCCCAGCCGGGAAGAAAUCGCCGUGGCAGAAGCUGUGCUUGCCGUCUCCAUCGGGCGUGAUACUACCACCACGCAGGAUGAAAGCAUAGCCAACAACACCCUAAAACUCCUCUCCAUCCGCACCAUUGACCCGCCUUCCCGGAUAACAAAUCCAGGCGUCCCGAAUUCAGAAAAUGCAGCUACGAUUGGGUUUGCGGCUGGUGGCGGUGCAGGUGCAGGCGAGAACGAGAUGAGCACGGCGGGGCCAGCGGGGGCAGCGGUUGAUAC